AAAAACCGACACAGGUGGGUGAGUAGAAUAUACUAAGGCGUAAGAGUGAACCCCCGUUAAGGAACUCGGCAAUCUAGCCCCGUAACUUCGGGAGAAGGGGUGCCCCCCUUUGGGGGGGCCGCAGUGAAUGGGCCCAACCGACUGUUUAUCAAAAACACAGCACUCUGCCAAGACGCAAGUCCAAGUAUAGGGUGUGACACGUGACCAAUGCGGAAAGAUUAAGGCAAGCGGUUAGUCGCAAGGCGAAGCUGUGAACCUAAGUCCCCGUGAAUGUCGGCCGUAACAAUAACGGUCCUAAGGUAGCGAAAUUCCUUGUCGGGUAAGUUCCGACCUGCACGAAUCGUGUAACGAGUUGGGCGCUGUCUCAACGGGGUGCUCAGUGAAUUUGUAUUGGCGGUGAAGAUGCCGCCUACCCGUGGAAGGACGGAAAGACCCUAUGCACCUUAACUGUACUCUGUCACUGUUGUUUCGGUUUUCAUGCUCAGUGUAAGUGGGAGACUUUGAGGCAGCCCUUUCGGGGGUUGCUGAGUCGUCAAUGAGACACCACCCUUGGGGAUUGAAACAUCUAACACCGGUCCCGUGAAUCCGGGCGGAGGACAAUGGCAGACGGUUAGUUUUACUGGGGCGGUAUCCUCCCAAAGAGUAACGGAGGAGCGCGAUGGUUGGUUCAACCUGGUUGGCAAUCAGGUGACGAGUGCAUUGGCAUAAACCAGCCUAACUGUGAGACCUACAAGUCGAGCAGAUGCGAAAGCAGGUCAAAGUGAUCCGGCGCUUGAAAAUGGAAUCGGCGUCGCUCAACGGACAAAAGGUACGCUAGGGAUAACAGGCUGAUUUUGCCCAAGAGUUCAUAUCGACGGCAAAGUUUGGCACCUCGAUGUCGGCUCGUCACAUCCUGGGGCUGGAGAAGGUCCCAAGGGUCCGGCUGUUCGCCGGUUAAAGUGGCACGCGAGCUGGGUUCAGAACGUCGCGAGACAGUUCGGUCCUCUAUCCUCAUGGGCGCAGGAAAAUUGCGGGGUUCAGUCCUUAGUACGAGAGGACCGGGACUGACGCACCUCUGGUGUUCCAGUUGUCUUGUCAAAGGCAUCGCUGGGCAGCUAUGUGCGGAAGGGAUAAGCGCUGAAAGCAUCUAAGCGCCAAGCCCAUCCCAAGAUAAGUUUUCCCUGAAGGAUCGUGGCAGACUACCACGUCGAUAGGAUGCGGGUGUAAGUGCAGCAAUGCAUUCAGCUUAGCAUUACUAAUCAUCCGUUCGGCUCG
rnacentral:rRNA from 1 species